UACGUAGGGCGCAAGCGUUAUCCGGAAUUAUUGGGCGUAAAGAGCUCGUAGGCGGUUUGUCGCGUCUGCCGUGAAAGUCCGGGGCUCAACUCCGGAUCUGCGGUGGGUACGGGCAGACUAGAGUGAUGUAGGGGAGACUGGAAUUCCUGGUGUAGCGGUAAAAUGCGCAGAUAUCAGGAGGAACACCGGUGGCGAAGGCGGGUCUCUGGGCAGUAACUGACGCUGAGGAGCGAAAGCGUGGGGAGCGAACAGG
rnacentral:rRNA from 1 species